CUAUAGCUCAGUAGGUAGAGUGCUACCUUGGUAAGGUAGAGGUCACGGGUUCAAUUCCCGUUGG
rnacentral:tRNA from 1 species